rnacentral:rRNA from 1 species
CCUACGGGCGGCAGCAGUGAGGAAUAUUGGUCAAUGGACGGAAGUCUGAACCAGCCAUGCCGCGUGCAGGAAGACGGCUCUAUGAGUUGUAAACUGCUUUUGUACAAGGGUAAACCUGAAUACGUGUAUUCAGCUGAAAGUACUGUACGAAUAAGGAUCGGCUAACUCCGUGCCAGCAGCCGCGGUAAUACGGAGGAUCCAAGCGUUAUCCGGAUUUAUUGGGUUUAAAGGGUGCGUAGGCGGAUUGAUAAGUUAGAGGUGAAAUGUCCGAGCUUAACUCGGGAACUGCCUCUAAUACUGUUGGUCUAGAGAGUAGAUGCGGUAGGCGGAAUGUAUGGUGUAGCGGUGAAAUGCUUAGAGAUCAUACAGAACACCGAUUGCGAAGGCAGCUUACCAAUCUAUAUCUGACGUUGAGGCACGAAAGCGUGGGGAGCAAACAGGAUUAGAUACCCGGGUAGUC